ACAAGGCAGCUCUCAGUCUCACAGAGAUCAUCCUGCCAGUCUCCCCAGUCCUGGGAUUACAUGUGUGUGCUAACAUGCCUGGCUCUAUUUUAUACUGUUUUUAGUGCUUGUAAGUAUGUGUGUAUGGCUGGUUCCUGAAGAGGCCUGAAGAGUAAGCCAGAAUCUUUGGAACUGGACUUACACAGAUGGUUGUAAGCCUUUAUGUGUUCAAUGUGUUUUGAGCUGUGAUCCCCAAUAAGUAUAGCAGGUGCUCUUAGCUGCUGAGGCAUCUCUCUAGGCCAGUUAUUGGGAAUCUCUUAUUUUUCAAAUAACUAGCAUAGCUCUGGGUAUCUGUCAGUAUAUCCUGCCUGUGAUUCUCAGAGUGCAGUAGUGUGGCAGGUUCCCUAGAGAGACAAUGCUUACUAAAACAUUUGCCUUGUAGGAUGGAGGUAACCCACCUUAUCAUCUUCAGAAAACAGUGCAUGAAAACAGAUACCUAUUAGAAUGUUUGUAAUUAUUAUUUAUGAUAUCAAAGUACUCAGAACAGUAUUUGAUAUGAAUGGAUUGAGGAAAUGAAGUAUGUGCUGAUUUAUUUGGUAAGUCAAAUUUGUCUCAUGGAUGAUAGAGUACAUACCUAUAAUCCCAGCACUCAGAUAGUUGGGCCAAGAGGAUACAGAGUUUGAGGCUCUCAUAGCAUACACAGUGACUCCCUGUCUGGAAAAGUAAAUUAAAGGCUUCAGAAUUAGUGAUUCCUAGGCAUCUCUUAGGAGAAUUGCCACACAGAUGAGUAUCCAGAAUGUAGGAUUUUAGAAAAUGAUUUCAAAAAGUGUGUGUGUGUGUGUGUGUGUGUGUGUGUGUGUCUGCUUCUGUGUCUGUGUCUGUGUCUGUGUCUGUGUGUGCCAGUAGCUACAGGGUCAGAAGAGCAUUCCAUUGGAUCCUGAGUUACAUGUGGUUUUGAGCCACCCAGUGUUGGUGCUGGAAUCUGGAAAAGCAGCAAGUGCAACUAACCCCUGAGCCAUUUCCCCAGCUCCGAGAAUCUGUAUGUUUAAAGAAUGUUCUCAGGACAGGUAUUCUUAUAUAACAGACAUAGUAGAGUCCCCUGACAGGUUAGAUAGUCACAAUGUUUAGGAAAUUUUAUAGAAAACUGGUAAAUAACACCAAAUAUACACAGAAAAUAAUAACCAAGUAUAUUGAAAAAUUUUAUAAAUGUGUCAAGAAAUAUUUCACUUAAUUAAAAAAUCCAUUUUAUGAAACCUGAAUUUUUUCCUCUUUAUAACAAUGAGCGGUAAACUUUGCAUCAUUAAUCUGCAUGCAUUGUUCCAUGAAUGCAUGAAUCUGUGAAAAUUUGAGGUUCUGUGACAUGGUAGUGACUCCUUCCACAUCCAGCAGCUUACUAUAGAUAACUGGAAAUAGAAACAACUUGAGAGGCUGCUACUUCUCAAGGUGGUACUGUGACAAAUAGGUUCUGUGUUAUGUUACUAGAUUCAGUGUAGUGCAGGUCCUGCUACAUGUUUGGAUGUGAUAAAGAGAGGACUGAUUGCUCUUGGGUUUUUCUGUAUGUGUGCCCUCAUAGUCAUCCCGAAGCUUUCAUCUUAACCUGCAUAGACAGGUGUUGUUCUCAUCUGGGCAUCCUGGGUGCAGGAUUUGUGGAGUACUCCCCUGAAGCAGAAGGAGCAUCUGGCCAGAAGUGUCAAUUCGUUUCCAUCACUGAAAAAGAUUCAAGGAAGAAGGCAAGGCCUGUUGUAUCUCAGCUGUGUUCAAAGUGACAUGACAAGGUAAGCAUUUCUCUGACCAAUUGUUUAUUAUUUUUCCAGUUUUGGUUUCCUGUUAAUCGCAGGGUCUAAUAAGAUAAUGGUGGAUAGAUUCAUUGAUGCAAGUGUAUAUCAUGAGUGAUUUCUGAUGUCUACUUCCCAGAAAUUGAUUGGUCUGUGUUUGUGAUAGCAUCAGGAGAGAAUCUAGAUUGAAUGUGUUGUGAGGUUCAAAUGAGGUGAUUGUGUGUAGUUAGUCUGAGUCAAAGGAACAAAGAAGACUUACAAGUAACUACAGUCCAGAGAGUAGAAAUAGAUCUAGUUAUGGAGCAUGAUCUUGCAUAUUUUCUAGAUAUUAAAAUUAUACACUUAAUGAAAAAUGAUGUUGAUUAUUAGCCACAGAUAUCUGUGCCCAUAAGAUUGAGAUGUAAUCACGAGAUGACAUACACACAUCCCAUGUGACAAUACACUACAAUGCAUGCACUGGGGAGACAUCACACUGCUUCAGCAAAUGGGAGGAACUGUUUUCAGAGUUGGUGUUCAUGAAGGGCUUGAAUGGACAAGGGUAAGCUCCAUCAGUGUAUCACUCCUCAGGUGGUUUGUAACUGAACACUAGUUAGUAGAUUCUGUAACUCUUCUGGCCUCCAAAAGUCACCUGCUUCUACAGUGUUGCUGUGAGCCAUAUCAUAUAUGUGAAUGAACUCAAGUGGAAGGGUUGACUAUGGCCAUGUUGUUUCUUUGGGUCAGUGUGAAGGGACUUUUUUGAGUUUAGCAGACUCCUGAGAGGUGUUAUGAUGCACCAUAUUCCUAGAAGAGUUUUGAAAAGUAGAAGUUAAAGAAACUUGUCCUUUGAUCUAAAAUACAAAGACUUUCUUAGUUCAUGAGGUAGUGCUUCCUAGAAAUAAACAUGCUUGUUGAAUCCUGUUCUUGUAAGGGAUCAAUCAGCAGCUGCAAGUGAUGGGAGGUUUUCAACCUGUAGUGGAAUGGACUUGCUCACAUUUCCUAGAAAAUCUGACUAAUGUGGGACUUUACUGGAAGCCUGUCUCCUGUUAGAAUUGGCAGUGGUAGGUCUUUACAGACUCUUGUUACCCUCUAUAGGGAAUGUUCUUUUCAGAGGUGGCAUCAUCGUAUCAUCUCAGUGCCUGAAAUGUUUGGGACAGUAUCUCCAAAAAACUGAAAAUAAAUUAAAGGAUCUGAAAGAUUGUAUCCUGAAUGCGUGGAAAAUGGCACUGUCAGAAGCUAUAUGCCUGCUCAAUUCCAAGUGCCAGAGUUUACAAAUAUCUGCACGUAGACAUUAAUGAAAAUCGAGACCAUGAUGUGAAGCAGAGGAUCAAUGCCUAAGAUUUGUGGACACAGGCUUGGAGCUGGAGGCAAGGCCAUGAACCCUAAAGGACUGGAGAUUGGAUCAGUUCAUGAUCUGUCCCCAUGGACAGGUGCUGUCCUUAUCUGGUCAUCGUGGGGGCAGGUAUUACCGAGUUCUCCCCUGCAGCAUAAGGAAUACCUGGGAUCCUGAAGUGUCAAUCCCAAUGAUGUCUCUUCUCCAUUUGCAGCACUGAAAAAGAGUCAAGGAAGAAGACAGCGCCUGGUAAGUGAGUUGCUCCCCACCUUUCUGUGCUCCUCUGCACUUAGGUCCCUAUAGCAGGGGCAGGGCUUCCUAUGAUCUCUGCUUGAGCAACAGACUUCCACAACAAAAGAAUCUGAGUUGGGCUCCAGUUCUAAACACAUACAGUUAAGUCUCAUGGGAUACUAGGUAUGUACCAAACUACACCUUGACCCUCACAUGGCCUCUUCAUCACAUUUUGCUUGGAAUCUUGGAUAUCCACAUUUUUUGGAAGAAACUGAGUGCACCAGGAUCAGUGCAGUAUUCAUUUAGUCCCAACACUUUUGUGGCAGAAUCAGUCAGGGUCCUAGGCAGAGGAAGAGCAGAGACAGAGGCAGGUAUAUUAAUUUGAGUUCAAGGCUAGCCUGAUGUAGCAUAGUAAGUUACAAUACAUCAGUCAAGAAAAUAAAAUCAAGUUUUCAAUAAAUGGAUUAUUUUUCCCCUAUUUCACCCUGUAAAAUGUCAACGUGUAGCAAACUCUGAAACUGUUAUAUCCUAUCAUAGAAGAUUUGAAGUUUUAGGGAUAGGCCUGAAUUGAGGGAAACUUCAACCACUCCAGAAAUCUAGGCAGGAAGAACCAAAUGGUUUCUCUGGGAAGGAAAGAGUUCAUUGUCAGAAAAGAAGGAGUAAUAUGAGUGUAUGUGUUAGAGAAAUGGGAAACACUGCUGAUGGAGUUCUCAGAAGGAAAUGCUAUCCUUAUAUUCUGCUGGUGGGUUUGGCAAGGUUUCUAGCUUGAUUAGAUACCAGUAUGGAUGGUCCUCCAAAAUCCCAAACCUGCCCUACCAUAUGGUUCAUGUACAUCUCAUCAAAGAACUCAAUAUAUUUAUUAAAUAGGUACUUGCCCAUCAGUGUUGAUUGCAGCACUGUGUGCAGAAUAUUAGUGAAUCAAGCAUGGUGUCCCACAGCAUUGUCAAGAGUGAAGUAGACAUGAUAAUACAGAGAAUGCAAAAUCCUUGCAUCCAUAGUGAAAAAGAAGUUGUGUUGUUUGUAUUGUGCAGAUCCAGUUGGGGCUAGAUGAGAUGGCUCAGCAGAUAAGGAUAUUUGAUGUUCUUGCAGUCCCCAGUCUGAUGUCAGAGGACCUUUUGGUGGCUUUCAAUAUCAGUGCAAUCUAGACUCCAGAGAAUCGGUGUCCUCUUCAGUCCUCCUUGAACACUACACAUGUGUCUUGUGCAGAAAUCCAAGGGGAAGGCAAACACACACACACAGACACACACGGACACACACACACACACACACACAAAUAAAUUCAAUUAAGAUAUUAAAUGAAUGCCUUCAAAAGUGGAUACAACUUGAGGUAAACAUAGUAAUUACCUAAACCAUUCCCAGUAAGAGAAUCAAGCUGGAAUAAUGAAAUUGCAGGAAGAAUUCUGUCCUAGACUACUAAUUAUCAAAGGGCUGGAGUGAAAGGUUCAAAUUGGGAGGAAGUGUUGAAAAAGUAGGAGUGUGGUCACUAUAGAGCAUAAACUCUGGGGGAUAUACCAUUACUAGUAACUAAGAUAAUGAAAAUAAAUCAAGGAAAAUAGUUUUAUCACCACCAAUGCUUUGGCUAUUGGUUUGAAAUUAAGAAUUCAGGUGCAGUGAUUUAACACACAGGAUGUAUUUGUGUAAUAUCUAUUCUUAUUUGGCAAUAUAGAUUAAUGGUAGCCAAGUUAUGAAGAAAACCUCAAAACUGUCUCUCUAUAUAUGUUUGUAGAUGAAAUAUUUGGGUUACACUUCUACAGUCAACUUUAGUAUCUUCAAGUAUUUACAAGUAUAGAAACCCAGACAUACACACAUUAACCUACUUACCUACAUAUGUCCUUACAUAUGUAUAUAUUCACCAGGGUUUUUAAACAUCAGACAUAUUCUUGUGUCUAUAUGUGUAUCCC